rnacentral:rRNA from 1 species
AGUGAACGCUGGCGGUAGGCCUAACACAUGCAAGUCGAACGGCAGCGCAGUAAGAGCUUGCUCUUACGGGUGGCGAGUGGCGGACGGGUGAGGAAUACAUCGGAAUCUACUUUUUCGUGGGGGAUAACGUAGGGAAACUUACGCUAAUACCGCAUACUACCUACGGGUGAAAGCAGGUGAUCUUCGGACCUUUCGCGAUUGAAUGAGCCGAUGUCGGAUUAGCUAGUUGGCGGGGUAAAGGCCCACCAAGGCGACGAUCCGUAGCUGGUCUGAGAGGAUGAUCGGCCACACUGGAACUGAGACACGGUCCAGACUCCUACGGGAGGAAGCAGUGGGGAAUAUUGGACAAUGGGCGCAAGCCUGAUCCAGCCAUACCGCGUGGGUGAAGAAGGCCUUCGGGUUGUAAAGCCCUUUUGUUGGGAAAGAAAAGCAGCAGGUUAAUACCCCGAUGUUCUGACGGUACCCAAAGAAUAAGCACCGGCUAACUUCGUG